GCUGGGCGUGGUGGCACUUGCCUGUAAUCCCAGCUACUCUGGAGGCUGAGACAGGAGAAUCGCUUGAACCCAGGAGACGGAGGUUGCAGUGAGCCAAGAUCGCACCACUGUACUCCAGCCUGGGUGACAAAGUGAGACUCUGUCUCAA
rnacentral:SRP_RNA from 1 species